rnacentral:rRNA from 1 species
CAAUCCUGAGUAAAGUGGCGUACUGGUGAGUAACACGUGGAUAUCUACCUCUUGGUGGGGAAUAACCUGGGGAAACCUGGGCUAAUACCGCAUAAGUUCGUGAGAAGAAAGGCGCAAGUCGCCGAGAGAGGAGUCCGCGGUCGAUUAGGUAGUUGGCGGGGUAAGAGCCCACCAAGCCAAAGAUCGAUAGCCGGCCUGAGAGGGCACACGGCCACACUGGCACUGAAACACGGGCCAGACUCCUACGGGAGGCAGCAGUGGGGAAUCUUGCACAAUGGGGGAAACCCUGAUGCAGCGACGCCGCGUGAGCGAUGAAGCCCUUCGGGGUGUAAAGCUCUUUCGGCAGGAACGAUAAUGACGGUACCUGCAGAAGAAGCUGCGGCUAACUACGUGCCAGCAGCCGCGGUAAUACGUAGGCAGCAAGCGUUGUUCGGAAUUACUGGGCGUAAAGAGUGUGUAGGUGGUGUCGUAAGUUUGGUGUGAAAUCUCCCGGCUUAACUGGGAGGGUGCGCCGAAGACUGCGAUGCUGGAGUAUGGGAGAGGAAAGCGGAAUUCCUGGUGUAGCGGUGAAAUGCGUAGAUAUCAGGAGGAACACCUGCGNGUGUAGACGGCUUUCUGGACCAUUACUGACACUGAGACACGAAAGCGUGGGUAGCAAACAGGAUUAGAUACCCUGGUAGUCCACGCCCUAAACGAUGCAUACUUGGUGUGAGCCAUUCAGUUGGUUCGUGCCGGAGCUAACGCGU